rnacentral:rRNA from 1 species
GACGAACGCUGGCGGCGUGCUUAACACAUGCAAGUCGAACGGUGAAGCGCCUUCCUUUUUGGUGGGUGUGGAUGAGUGGCGAACGGGUGAGUAACACGUGAGUAACCUGCCCCCUUCUUCUGGAUAACCGCAUGAAAGUGUGGCUAAUACGGGAUAUUCUGGGUCUGUCGCAUGAUGGGUCUGGGAAAGAUAUUGUUUCGGUGGGGGAUGGGCUCGCGGCCUAUCAGCUUGUUGGUGGGGUGAUGGCCUACCAAGGCGGUGACGGGUAGCCGGCCUGAGAGGGUGGACGGUCACACUGGGACUGAGAAACGGCCCAGACUCCUACGGGAGGCAGCAGUGGGGAAUAUUGCACAAUGGGCGCAAGCCUGAUGCAGCGACGCCGCGUGAGGGAUGGAGGCCUUCGGGUUGUGAACCUCUUUCGCCAGUGAAGCAGGCCUGCCUCGUUUGUGGGUGGGUUGACAGUAGCUGGAGAAGAAGCGCCGGCUAACUACGUG